rnacentral:rRNA from 1 species
AACGAACGCUGGCGGCAGGCCUAACACAUGCAAGUCGAACGCUCUAGCAAUAGAGAGUGGCAGACGGGUGAGUAACGCGUGGGAACCUACCUAGUGGUACGGAAUAGCUCAGGGAAACUUGGGGUAAUACCGUAUGCGCCCGAAAGGGGAAAGAUUUAUCGCCAUUAGAUGGGCCCGCGUAGGAUUAGCUAGUUGGUGAGGUAAUGGCUCACCAAGGCAACGAUCCUUAGCUGGUUUGAGAGAAUGACCAGCCACACUGGGACUGAGACACGGCCCAGACUCCUACGGGAGGCAGCAGUGGGGAAUCUUGGACAAUGGGCGCAAGCCUGAUCCAGCCAUGCCGCGUGAGUGACGAAGGCCUUAGGGUUGUAAAGCUCUUUCGGCAGGAACGAAACGGCGGGCUCUAACAUAGCCUGUCAAUGACGGUACCUGAAGAAGAAGCACCGGCUAACUACGUGCCAGCAGCCGCGGUAAAUGACGUCAGACUAAGACUG